rnacentral:rRNA from 1 species
CUCCGGUUUGAUCCUGCCGGACCCGACUGCUAUCAGAGUGGGACUAAGCCAUGCGAGUCGACGUAGCAAUGCGUGGCGAACGGCUCAGUAACACGUAGUCAACAUGCCCAGGGAACGUGGAUAACCUCGGGAAACUGAGAAUAAACCACGAUAGGUCACGAUUUCUGGAAUGGAUCAUGGCCUAAAUCUACAUGGCCCCUGGAUUGGACUGCGGCCGAUCAGGCUGUUGGUGAGGUAAUGGCCCACCAAACCUAUAACCGGUACGGGCUCUGAGAGGAGAAGCCCGGAGAUGGGCACUGAGACAAGGGCCCAGGCCCUAUGGGGCGCAGCAGGCGCGAAACCUCUGCAAUAGGCGAAAGCCUGACAGGGUUACUCUGAGUGAUUUCCGCUAAGGGGAUCUUUUGGCACCUCUAAAAAUGGUGCAGAAUAAGGGGUGGGCAAGUCUGGUGUCAGCCGCCGCGGUAAUACCAGCACCCCGAGUGGUCGGGACGAUUAUUGGGCCUAAAGCAUCCGUAGCCGGUUCUGCAAGUCUUCCGUUAAAUCCAGCCGCUCAACGGAUGGGCCGCGGAGGAUACUACAGGACUAGGAGGCGGGAGAGGCAAGCGGUACUCAGUGGGUAGGGGUAAAAUCCUUUGAUCCAUUGAAGACCACCAGUGGCGAAGGCGGCUUGCCAGAACGCGCUCGACGGUGAGGGAUGAAAGCUGGGGGAGCAAACCGGAUUAGAUACCCGGGUAGUCCCAGCUGUAAACGCUGCAGACUUGGUGUUGGGGGUCCUGCGUGGGCUUCCAGUGCCGGAGUGAAGAUGUUAAGUCUGCCGCUUGGGGAGUACGGUCGCAAGACUGAAACUUAAAGGAAUUUGGCGGGGAGCA